CAAAUGAAAUUCCGUCGGUUUCCAUCACCUUUUCUUUUCCUCCCCCGACUCUCUCUCUGUAACCGUCCAUCAAAUCCUCCCAUCCCUCCCUUUUCUCAGCAGUACACUUUCCGAAUUUUUUUGCUAUGAUUCCGGCAAAGGCCGUGUGGAAGCGGCAGUGCAUCAGGUUCUUGACUAUUUUCAGGGUAUAUGGCUGUGAAGAAGCCCGACUCUGCUGUGAAGAGAGCUCGGCAGGCCGAAAAGAGGAGGAUUUACAACAAAUCCCGGAAAUCCGAAAUCAAAACCCGGAUGAAGAAGCCUGGUCUAUUCUGCAUCAGGUACACUUCUGGGCAUCAUUACGGGCGUCAAUUUCUUUAGAACUCAUGGAUAAGUUGUUUCGCGAUAUCAGUUGAUGGACUCGUCUGAUUAUGAUAUCAAUGCAGACUGUCUACUAUCCUAGACUAUGCCUUCAAUCAAUUGAGAAAAGUCAGUUCAUUUGCAGACUCCCAGGUUAUGAGUUUACUUUAACAGUCUGGAAAUAUGCAACCAAGUUUUCUUUUUCAACUUAUGCUCCGUUUACUAUUCUUCUGCAGCUUAUUUUUUCACAGAUUCAGUCUUCAGUAGAUGGCUGAGGAAUUUCUACAUGAAGCAAUGUAUCAAAUUAUCAUUGAUCAUAGGUAUGAAGAAGGCCUUAAUAAUGUAAUGAGAGAGUCCAAUAUCAACUGGACGUUCUAUACUAAACUGGAGGAAAAGAUACAUGCAAAGUAGAUGGAGAAGAAUAAUUUGCAAGCCAAGUAUGAGGAAACUCUGGAAGCUGAGAUUAGGAUGUUCAGGAAGAAACUGACUUUUAAAACAGCUCCAAUGCCAAUCUUCUAUCAGGAGCCUCCACCUCCUAAAGCAGACCUGAAGAAGAUACCAACAAGAGCCAGUCUUCCAACAUUGGAUGUAGGAAGAGCUUACUUCCUGCAGUUUCUGAAGCAAACGGUAAUGCCAAUGGUCGAUCUAGGAGAUUUAGUCUGGAUGAGAAAGUACCUCAGAACACUGCUAGAGGGUCAUCUUAUGUGUAUCCAAAGAAGCCACAACGAAGUCCCUUCCUAGACUCCUGAACUUUUGUUGCGGAGAAUUGUUGGUACUUCUUGAGCAAUGCUUAGUUUGUACUGUGUUUUGUACUCUUUGGCAGUCAAGUGAGAUAUAUAUGCUUUAGAAAUAUCAAUUUUCCCAUUUUCCUGUUUUAUUUUUUCUAUAUUGCAUCCAUAUUUGAAUGUUGAAUUUGGUGGUUUCUCUCAGAGAGUAAGGGUUUUGGUUUGCAUUCUUGGAUUAGAUUUGUAUAUAUUCCAUUGCAUCUUAGUUUUCUCUGAUUUAAUAGCAUAAUCUAGCUCUUGGUAUUCUAACUUUGCUUUCCUUGUAUCAAAAUUGUAUCUGGCUCUUGGUUUUCUUUAUUUAAAAUUUUCUAUUAGUAUAUGAGUAUUUGAUUCUGAUAUGUCAUUUUCCUCCGUUUGACGUGAUUUUGGAUUAUUAAGGACCCAGGCUUGCCUUCCGCAUUUUCGUUGGAAAAAGGCUUUUAGGUGAGUAAUUUACGUUUGGUUUUGAUUAUCGGCUAAAGAGAAUAGGGGGUUUAAUUUGUAAUUAUUUUGAUGCAACAAAAUUUUUUAAAUUUUACAUAUUUUUCCAGUUCAGGAUGAUAAAAAUUUAGGGCUUUGAUUCGUUGAUGUGAUUUCCAUGUACUCUGAAUUCAAAUGAAAAUGCAAGGAUAUAUUAGAUGUGUGAGUAAAUUUUCAGUCUUCCAUGUAUUUGUUUGACCCUUAAUUAUAUAUGAAUUAUUGAUUGAUAAUUUGAAAAUAUGUAUGCUAUUAUUGAUUUCGAAAAAUUAGUUCGUUAAUUUGUUGGGCUUGGUUGUUUUGGCAUGCAAGGUUAUGAGGCAGAGGAAAAAGAAAAUCCACAGCCUGCCAAGGAUGUGUUGGAAUACCUUCAGUUGAUGUGUCUUUUCCCGGGUUUUAGCGAAAUUUGAGGUUUGAUGUGUCUUCAUCAUCACUUAAUCAAUGAAAAGCUCUCUCUCACUGUGAGCUUCAAAUUGUAAUCCUUACCUUCAAAUUUGAACCUUCCACGAUCGAACUUUCACUGUAGAGGCAAUCUUUGCAUGUGACAAUUGCAUUGGUAGGCCUUUUUUGCAGCUUCCAGAAAUCGUUGCUGCUUUGAUCUCUGCGCCCGAUUGUUCAUCAUAGAAAACUCCUAAAUACAGUGAGAUGCCACUUCAUGUCGUUUUAACGAGUGCCCGAGCGCAUGAUUUACUUUAUACGUGACCUCUAAAUUGACCUGUAUGCUUGAGUCCUUGCACCUUACAAUAAUCUUCACCUGAACCACUGCCAUUCAUUUCACCUUUUUACUCUUGCAAUUGUCUUUGGCCUUUCUUGAUGCAUCAGACACUUGGAUAAGGAAUUGUUCCUUAUAUUAGCAAUUAUAUGAAGUAGGCAUAUUAUGCAAUACAAUGUCUACAUUCAAUUAGUAAAUAUUGAGUUUAUUUUUGUCAAACAGUGACAUUUGAUUCA